CUAUAUUAAGGCUUGGACAAUGAUGUCCCGAGAAAUUCAUUUCUCUGCUAAAUGAUGGAGAGUAAAAGUCCUUUGAUAAGGCAAUUGUUCGAUUAAAAAUACAUUGCUGUAGCUGGGACAGCAUAAGUCCGAUGUUAUAAGUUAGAUCAUAUGCUUGUCGAUCUAUGUCCGAAAGUAAAAGAUUGGAGAAACCUGUCUCUAUAGUUCUAUUGUCUUGCUGUACUGGGACAGCUUGAUAUAAAGUUCAAAAUUCUGCUAAGAUCAGCCUUUAUUAAGGCUUGGACAAUGAUGUCCCGAGAAAUUCAUUUCUCUGCUAAAUGAUGGAGAGUAAAAGUCCUUUGAUAAGGCAAUUGUUCGAUUAAAAAUACAUUGCUGUAGCUGGGACAGCAUAAGUCCGAUGUUAUAAGUUAGAUCAUAUGCUUGUCGAUCUAUGUCCGAAAGUAAAAGAUUGGAGAAACCUGUAUCUAUAGUUCUAUUGUCUUGCUGUACUGGGACAGCUUGAUAUAAAGUUCAAAAUUCUGCUAAGAUCAGCCUAUAUUAAGGCUUGGACAAUGAUGUCCCGAGAAAUUCAUUUCUCUGCUAAAUGAUGGAGAGUAAAAGUCCUUUGAUAAGGCAAUUGUUCGAUUAAAAAUACAUUGCUGUAGCUGGGACAGCAUAAGUCCGAUGUUAUAAGUUAGAUCAUAUGCUUGUCGAUCUAUGUCCGAAAGUAAAAGAUUGGAGAAACCUGUCUCUAUAGUUCUAUUGUCUUGCUGUACUGGGACAGCUUGAUAUAAAGUUCAAAAUUCUGCUAAGAUCAGCCUUUAUUAAGGCUUGGACAAUGAUGUCCUGAGAAAUUCAUUUCUCUGCUUAAAAGAAACAGUUCAAUAUUCUGCAAAUUGAUGGAGAAUAAAAGUCCUUUGAUAAGGCGAUUGUCCGUUUGAAGAGGUAUUGCUGUAGCUGGGACAGCAUAGUCCUAUGUUGCCUAACAAAAGCUAAGAUCAUAUGCUUGUCGAUCUAUGUCCGUAAGUAAAAGAUUGGAGAAACCAGUCUCUAUAGUUCUAUUGUCUUGCUGUACUGGGACAGCUUGAUAUAAAGUUCAAAAUUCGGCUAAGAUCAGUCUUUAUUAAUAAGGCUUGGACAAUGAUGUUCCGAGAAUUUCAAUUCUCUACUUAAACGAUAUAAUUCAAUAUUCUGCAAAAUGGAGAAUAAAAGUCCUUGAAUAAGGCAAAUAGGCAAUUAAAGAUAUAUUGAUGUAGCUGGGACAUCAUUCCGAUUUGGCCUAACAAAAGCUAAGAUCAUAUGCUUGUCGAUCUAUGUCUAUAAGUAAAGGAUUGUCUUGUUGUACUGGGACAGCUUGACAUAAACUUCAAAAUUCUGCAGCCUUUAUUAAGGCUUGAACAAUGAUGUUCCGAGAAUUUCAAUUCUCUACUUAAAACGAUACAAUUCAAUAUUCUGCAAACUGAUGGAGAAUAAAAGUGCUUGAAUAAGGCAAUUGUCCGAUUAAAGAUGUAUUGCUGCAGUUGGGACAGCAUAGUCCGAUGUUGCUUGUCAGAAGCUAAGGUCAUAUGCUUGUCGAUCUAUGUCCGUAAGUAAACGAUUGGAGAAAUCCAUCUCUCUUUAGUUCUAUUGUCUUGCUGUGCUGGGACAGCUUUAUGAACUUCAAAAUUCUGCAGCCUUUAUUAAGGCUUGAACAAUGAUGUUCCGAGAAUUUCAGUUCUCUACUUAAACGAUACAAUUCAAUGCUCUGCAAACUGAUGGAGAAUAAAAGUCCUGAAUUAUCCGAUUAAAGAUAUAUUGAUGUAGCUGGGACAUCAUUCCGAUUUGGCCUAACAGAAGCUAAGAUCAUAUGCUUGUCAAUCUAUGUCUGUAAGUAAAGGAUUGUCUUGCUGUACUGGGACAGCUUGACAUAAACUUCAAAAUUCUGCAGCCUUUAUUAAGGCUUGAACAAUGAUGUUCUGAGAUAUUCAAUUCUCUGCUUAAAAGAUACAGUUCAGUAUUCUGCAAAUUGAUGGAGAAUAAAAGUCCUUUAAAAAGGCAAUUGUCCGAUUAAAUAUAUAUUGCUGUAGCUGGGACAGCAUAGUCCAAUGUUGCCUGACUAAAGCUAGAUCAUAUGCUUGUCGAUUUAUGUCCGUAAGUAAAGGAUUGGAGAAAUCAAUCUCUAUAGUUCGAUUGUCAAUUAAAAAGUUUGCUGUGGCUGGGGCAGCAUAAUAACAUUCAAUGUUCUGCUCGUAAGGAUUGUCUAAAGACAUCCCAAGAAUGUGAAAUUCAAACUUCUUUUGAACCUCUAUUAAAUACGGAUGAUACUUUAUGAAUUAAGUAUUUAAUUCUCUGAACCUGACGUCUGGGAGAGGAGGGAAAUAGAGGUUUUGCAGAAGAUUCAACGUGUAGACUGUAUCUUUCCCUUUUUUUAUCAGUUGAGUGUCUCUUCCUUCAUUUAAAACAAGCUUCAGAAGACCAAGAACUCCAGUGUGUGUACAUGAUUUUUCUCAGGUUCGACCUCUCUCCCUCAGUUUGAAAUAUUAUACUGUUAUUAGUUGUAUCUGGAUUGUUGUAGUAGUAAGGGUUGUGUGGGAGACUCUAGCAUUUUGGUAACUUCUGGUGCACAACAGGAUUAGCUGAACGAGCAGUCCCUGUUGCAGCAACUUUUGUCUCCAAACAAGAAAGCUUUGGUUUCUCAGAAAAGAGAGAGAAAGUGUUAUGUAUGUGGGUAAGAUGCUAGAGUUUGGUGGAUAAAUUGGAAAUCUGACCCCUUUUCAAGCAUGUAGCAUGAGUUCGUUCUAAGGUUUGACACUUUCUUUUAAGUACCCUCAAGCUCUGAAAACAAGACAACUUAAGUUACAGAGAGGAGCAAAAAAAAACAGAGCAAGUAACCAUUCUUCUUUCAGCAGCAGAUUUAUAGUCAAUGUGGCUGUAUCUCACAAACCAAAAGAUUUUACAUAGAAGUUGGAAAUUUGGCUCGUUAAAGACCUAGGAAGCACGGAAGCUCCGUCCGUAGUCCGAUUCCCGCUUCGGAAGCUAAAACGGAAUCGGAAGCUUCAGGAAGCGCCCGGAAGCGUGGUGGAAGCGCGAUUCCGAAAAAAAGGAAAUCGGAAGCGUUUUGGAAGCUAUGAUUCCGUUUAGGAAGCGUUCUAUUUUUAUGCGAUUCUGAUUUUGGAAUCGUUAUUAAGGAAAUAUUUAGGAAGCGUGAUAUAUUUUUUGUAUUUCUUAAUUAAAUAUGAAAUUAGAAAACCCUAAUUACUCUUUACUAAACAAGAGAAUACCAAUCGUGGCUAAAUUUCGUCUUUGGCAAAACUCUUGUUGGGAUUGACCCAUUUGAUUGGCCCUGCAAAAGAGAAAGCUAGGUUAGUGAUGAUGAAGAACAAGGAAGUUCUGAAGUAGAACAAGAAGAAGAAGUUGUCAUGGUUGAAGAAGAAGAGAGGUCAACUAAAGAAGAAGAAGGAGUCAACGUAAAAAGAAGAUGUGUUUUGAGUUAAGAGAUGGAGUGGGCCUAAGUGGUUAAGGUGUGGCCCAACAGAAGAAAGGUGUUGUCUAAUGGGUCUAACUAAAGCCCAUUCGUAGAAGUAAUUAUAAUGUCCAAGUAUAACUAAGCGUUAAGUGAGUUGUUGAGAGUGUUUGCUAAUGGUGAUGAAAAUGAAAAGGAAGACGAUGGUCCAAAUC